UCACAGCUUGGCCAAGUCAUUUAUAGCCCAUAAAAAAUUACUUAACACAUGGUGGCAUAUGUAACUCUAUAAAUCUUUCUCGGAGAAGGAGGUGGAAGAUGGCAUUUGUAUACACAAAUAUAUCCAUACACAUACUCAGGCUAACGCAAUAUGUUAGCACUCUUUUGUGCUAAAAACCUAGUAGGCACACUAUCAUGGUAACUGAAGAUGAAAAUUUUUGGUAAGAACCUGCCUAUUCAUUUCUCACAUUAUGUUUUGCAGAUCCCCCCUCAGAUUUAUACUGCAGUUCUGAGGCUCUUCAGUGAAAUAUGCUUGAAGUCUUGCUCAUACCUCCCUGGAACUACACACUGGUGAGCACAGUCGUGUGUGCUGCACAGCUUGCCUACCACAGCAGAUGCUUCUGCACUGACUGUUCAUGUGGAAGACAGAAUAUGGCAACUGACACAUUUAUCUCUUUUAUUUUGUGCGACUCAAGCACAAAGGGGUUUUCUCACCAAACUGGUCACAGGAUGGCAGCAUGAAAACCAGGAAAACCAACUGGAUUAUACUGGAAAAUGUCUCAGGAAGGCAGAACUAAUUGCUUUAAUUAUUACUGGAGAGCCAUAACUGUUUGGGUUGGAAGGGACCUAAAAGAUCACCUACUUUCAACCCUCCUGCCAUGGGCAGGGACACGUUCCACUAGACCAGAUUUCUGCAAGUAAGGUUUCUCAUCUGCAGUAAGCUCCAUAUUUUCAGCCUGGCACCAGGACAUCAAAGUAAGUAUUUUUGCAUAGGCAGAAAAGCAUUUGCAUGUAUAAGUAACUGUAUCAUGAUUAGCUUUAAGCAAUUUCCUUCAUCUGCCUUUUGUUCCCUCUUUCUUAUAACUUUCUGGUUGAAGGUCUAAAAUUGAGACCACUUGUCUCUGAACAUCCUCAGAAUAUUAUAGUUCUGAUAUUUCAACCACUUGAGUAAAAAAAAAGAUCCAAAUGUUAAAUUUUUAAAGUGCGAAUAUAUAUCAGCCUGAUUCAAGAGACAUCUCAAGCCCUUAGUCUGGUAUCAAUCACACCACAGUGAGUCCUUUGGCUUAAAAAAGUUACUCUAGCCAGUGAAAGGAGAAUUAAUUUUAUUCUGAAUUUUAAUUACUUUGAAGAAUGUGGCAAUGAUUACUUGAGCAUAUGCUGUCCAUUUGUUUCAUGACUUAUUUUACUCAAGAGA